rnacentral:sRNA from 1 species
AUUUUGAUGGUUACAUUUGUUUGAUAAGAUAUAGUGAUAACAAUAAUUUUCUUUUUGCUUUUCUACGCUCCAUCCUCCCAUUCGAAACAGUAUGGAUUGUUUUUCUUCUCACGAGAAAUACGACAAAUAGGGGUUACAUCGUCUUGUCCUACUUCCCAUAUACAUUCUUUACAAAUCGGAAGUUCUCCAACUGGACUAUCAUCUCUUGAUGCUUUAAAUAUAUAAAAAUAAUGAGAUCCACCAUUAUGCCACGUAAAAUGACAACGAAAUUUCGUAGUUUUAAAAAAGUUAACAUAAAAUCUGAAACCCCAUGCACCAUUCCAAGGAAUAUGUUUAAGCCCAAAAUCAUCUUCACUAGAUCUGCAAUGUACAUUCAAAAUUUCUCUAUUUUUUAACUUGUUGCGGAUUACAACAUGUUUUUCGCUUAGAGGUAACAAGCCAUCGCCGCCCGAAGUUGGUGCUUCCGCUGGAGCAUCAGAAAGAACUAAUGCAGACACAAAAAGAAUAAGAGUAUAAUAGAUCAU